GAAACAAUUACGCAUAUUGCCCCAUAUACCAAGGUAUGCUGACAAGGGCUUCUUACUUCAAUUUGUAUUACAUAUGCAGAAUGUAGCAUGUGGAAUUUUCUUUAAGUAUAUGAUAAAUGAUAUUAUUCCCUAUAAUUAUGAUUUUAGUAGGUUUUGCAUAAAAAUAUUUUUUCUAAUACAGCUUAUUCGCCUGAAGAAAAUGUAUACAACUGCUGUAAAAGGUUAAAAACUAAAUUCACCCAGCG
rnacentral:lncRNA from 1 species